AGCAGCCGCGGUAAUUCCAGCUCCAAUAGCGUAUAUUAAAGUUGUUGCAGUUAAAAGCUCGUAGUUGAAUUUCGGGGUUAGUAGGUUGGUCAUGCCUCUGGUAUGUACUGGUCUCACUGAUUCCUCCUUCCUGAUGAGCCGUAAUGCCAUUAAUUUGGUGUUGCGGGGAAUCUGGACUGUUACUUUGAAAAAAUUAGAGUGUUUAAAGCAAGCUAACGCUUGAAUACAUUAGCAUGGAAUAAUGAAAUAGGACGUUCGAUCCUAUUUUGUUGGUUUCUAGGAUUGACGUAAUGAUUAAUAGGGAUAGUUGGGGGCAUUAGUAUUCAAUUGUCAGAGGUGAAAUUCUUGGAUUUAUUGAAGACUAACUACUGCGAAAGCAUUUGCCAAGGAUGUUUUCAUUAAUCAAGAACGAAAGUUAGGGGAUCGAAGACGAUCAGAUACCGUCGUAGUCUUAACCAUAAACUAUGCCGACUAGGGAUCGGAUGAUGUUAAUUUUUUAAUGACUCAUUCGGCGCCUUAC
rnacentral:misc_RNA from 1 species